rnacentral:rRNA from 1 species
AGAGUUUGAUCCUGGCUCAGAACGAACGCUGGCGGCGUGGCUAAGACAUGCAAGUCAAACGGACUAUACAAUUGAGUAAUCGAUCGUAUAGUUAGUGGCGAAAGGGUUAGUAAUGGAUAGGUAACGUACCCUGUGCUUCGGAAUAGCGUCUCCCGACUUGUCGGGAUACCGAAAGGGUCGGUAAUACCGAAUAAUAUCAUUUGUCGAUAGGCAGAUGAUCAAAGAUUUAUCGGCACAGGAGCGGCCUAUCUCUUAUCAGCUUGUUGGUGAGGUAAUGGCUCACCAAGGCUAUGACGGGUAGCGGGACUGAGAGGUUGGCCCGCCACAUCGGGACUGAGACACUGCCCGGACCUCCACGGAGGGCUGCAGUAACGAAUCUUGCGCAAUGGGCGAAAGCCUGACGCAGCGACGCCGCGUGCGGGAGGAAGUCCCUCGGGAUGUAAACCGCUGUCAGGGGUAAGAAAGUGCGCUUCGGCGCAUUGAUCUAACCCAAAGGAAGUCACGGCUAACUUCGUGCCAGCAGCCGCGGUAAGACGAAGGUGGCAAGCGUUGUUCGGUGUUACUGGGCUUAAAGGGUGUGUAGGCGGAAGGGUAAGCGUCCUGUGAAAGCCCUCGGCUUAACCGGGGAACUGCUCGACGAACUGUCUUUCUUGAGGCAAGUAGGGGUGUACGGAACUCUUGGUGGAGCGGUGAAAUGCGUAGAUAUCAAGAGGAACGCCGGUGGAGAAAUCGGUGCACUGGGCUUGUUCUGACGCUGAGACACGAAAGCGUGGGGAGCGAACGGGAUUAGAUACCCCGGUAGUCCACGCCGUAAACGAUGUCUACUAGGUUGUGGAAGUUCUGACGCUUGCACGGCCGAAGCAAAAGUGCUAAGUAGACCGCCUGGGGAGUACGGGCGCAAGGCUAAAACUCAAGGAAUUGACGGGGGCUCACACAGCGGUGGAGCAUGGUGGAUUAAUCGAAGCAACGCCGCAGAACCUUACCUGGUUUGACAUGCUUGUAUGCCGCCUGCAAGUGGAUUGCUGCCUUCGGGUGAACAUGCACCAGUGCCUGCAUGCCUGUCGUCAGCUCGUGUCUGGAAUGUCGGCUAGUCGUACCGACGAAUCCUUGCCGUAUGCACGGGUCUGUGCGGACUACGGAACUGCCGGU